GUCUCCGUGGCGCAGUUGGAGAGCGCGCCGGGUUGCGGACCCGGAGGUCGCAGGUUCGAGUCCUGCCGGAGAUG
rnacentral:tRNA from 3 species